AUUGAACGCUGGCGGCAGGCUUAACACAUGCAAGUCGAGCGAGCGGCGGACGGGUGAGUAAUGUCUGGGAAACCCCCUGAUGGAGGGGGACAAUUACUGGAAACGGUAGCUAAUACCGCAUACUAUCAGAUGUGCCCUGAUAGGAUUAGUUAGUAGGUGGGGUAAUGGAUCACCUAGGCGGCGAUCCCUAGCUGGUCUGAGGGGAUGACGAGCCACGCAGACACUGAGACACGAGACAGACUCCUACGGGAGGCAGCAGUGGGGAAUCUUACGCAAUGGGCGCAAGCCUAGUGCAGCCAAGCCGCGUGAGUGAGGAAGGCCUUCGGCUUGUAAAGCACUUUCAGCGAGGAAGCGUUACUCGCAGAAGAAGCACCGGCUAACUCCGUGCCAGCAGCCGCGGUAAUAC
rnacentral:rRNA from 1 species